rnacentral:rRNA from 1 species
UAAUACGGAGGGUACAAGCGUUAAUCGGAAUUACUGGGCGUAAAGCGCGCGUAGGCGGUUAAGUAAGUUGGAUGUGAAAGCCCUGGGCUCAACCUAGGAACUGCAUUCAAAACUAUUUAACUAGAGUACGAGAGAGGAGAGUAGAAUUUCUGGUGUAGCGGUGAAAUGCGUAGAUAUCAGAAGGAAUACCAAUGGCGAAGGCAGCUCUCUGGAUCGUCACUGACGCUAAGGUGCGAAAGCGUGGGUAGCAAACAGGAUUAGAUACCCUGGUAGUCCACGCCGUAAACGAUGAGAACUAGCCGUUGGGGAGAAUUAACUCUCCAGUGGCGCAGCUAACGCAUUAAGUUCUCCGCCUGGGGACUACGGCCGCAAGGCUA